UGGCUCAGUGGUGGAGUGCUUGCCUGGCAUGCAGGAGGCCCUGGGUUCAAUCCUCAG
rnacentral:tRNA from 1 species